ACGGGUGAGUAACACGUGGGUGAUCUGCCCUGCACUUCGGGAUAAGCCUGGGAAACUGGGUCUAAUACCGGAUAUGACCUCCUAUCGCAUGGUGGGUGGUGGAAAGAUUUAUCGGUGCAGGAUGGGCCCGCGGCCUAUCAGCUUGUUGGUGGGGCAAUGGCCUACCAAGGCGACGACGGGUAGCCGACCUGAGAGGGUGACCGGCCACACUGGGACUGAGACACGGCCCAGACUCCUACGGGAGGCAGCAGUGGGGAAUAUUGCACAAUGGGCGAAAGCCUGAUGCAGCGACGCCGCGUGAGGGAUGACGGCCUUCGGGUUGUAAACCUCUUUCAGCAGGGACGAAGCGCAAGUGACGGUACCUGCAGAAGAAGCACCGGCUAACUACGUGCCAGCAGCCGCGGUAAUACGUAGGGUGCAAGCGUUGUCCGGAAUUACUGGGCGUAAAGAGUUCGUAGGCGGUUUGUCGCGUCGUUUGUGAAAACCAGCAGCUCAACUGCUGGCUUGCAGGCGAUACGGGCAGACUUGAGUACUGCAGGGGAGACUGGAAUUCCUGGUGUAGCGGUGAAAUGCGCAGA
rnacentral:rRNA from 1 species